AAGUCGUAACAAGGUUUCCGUAGGUGAACCUGCGGAAGGAUCAUUAACACGUAUCCAACGUUAAACAACCCUGUGAACUUUAAGUCCCCUCUUGCAGCCCAUGAGGAACAGCAAUCCCGGUAAAUCAUUGCCAAACAGUUUUGAUUCGGGACCUCUGUCCAAAAGGAGUUGCAAUCGAAGGGUGGAAGCAGUGGCAUGGCUUCCCCAAGCAGUUAGUGAAUGACAGUGUCACUGACUGUGUAAGGAUAACGCCGAUCACCGACCGGCAGACAUGUCACAGGGUCACCACGCCCCUUAAUCACUCCACUUGAAAAUGCCCCGCCUAGUGGUAACGCGCUAGGUAAAAAAAACCGAACAACUGUUAACAAUGGAUAUCUUGGUUCUC
rnacentral:misc_RNA from 1 species